GGGUCCGUAGCCCAGACUGGAUUAAGGCGCCGAGUCACCUGAGCCGGAGACCCGGGGUUCAAAUCCCCGCGGACCCGCCA
rnacentral:tRNA from 1 species